rnacentral:rRNA from 1 species
UACCUAUAAGACUGGGAUAACUUCGGGAAACCGGAGCUAAUACCGGAUAAUAUUUCGAACCGCAUGGUUCGAUAGUGAAAGGUGGUUUUGCUAUCACUUAUAGAUGGACCCGCGCCGUAUUAGCUAGUUGGUAAGGUAACGGCUUACCAAGGCGACGAUACGUAGCCGACCUGAGAGGGUGAUCGGCCACACUGGAACUGAGACACGGUCCAGACCUCCGUACGGGGAGGCAGCAGGC